AGCGAACGCUGGCGGCAGGCUUAACACAUGCAAGUCGAGCGGCCGUAGCAAUACGUCAGCGGCAGACGGGUGAGUAACGCGUGGGAACAUACCUUUUGGUUCGGAACAACACAGGGAAACUUGUGCUAAUACCGGAUAAGCCCUUACGGGGAAAGAUUUAUCGCCGAAAGAUUGGCCCGCGUCUGAUUAGCUAGUUGGUAGGGUAAUGGCCUACCAAGGCGACGAUCAGUAGCUGGUCUGAGAGGAUGAUCAGCCACAUUGGGACUGAGACACGGCCCAAACUCCUACGGGAGGCAGCAGUGGGGAAUAUUGGACAAUGGGGGCAACCCUGAUCCAGCCAUGCCGCGUGAGUGAUGAAGGCCCUAGGGUUGUAAAGCUCUUUUGUGCGGGAAGAUAAUGACGGUACCGGAAGGAUAAGGCCCGGCUAACUUCGUGC
rnacentral:rRNA from 1 species